GCGCCCCUGCGUUGAGCGCAAGGCAACUAUUGCCCGAGCCGAUAACUGCUGAAAGGGAGCUUAGCUAUCCUGAUUGUGUGUAUCCCCGGUCGUCUAUGCGAUCAUACGGGAAACCUGAUGUCAGGAUGCGGCGCCCACUUCGUUUGAAGGGUUCGGCAGCAUUUAGCCAUAACGCCAGCGCGGGGGUGCC
rnacentral:other from 1 species